rnacentral:rRNA from 1 species
GAUUAAUUCGAUGCAACGCGAAAAACCUUACCUACCCUUGACAUGCCAGGAAGAUUCCAGAGAUGGGAUUGUGCCCGAAAGGGAACCUGGACACAGGUGCUGCAUGGCUGUCGUCAGCUCGUGUCGUGAGAUGUUGGGUUAAGUCCCGCAACGAGCGCAACCCUUGUCAUUAAUUGCCAUCAUUCAGUUGAGCACUUUAAUGAGACUGCCGGUGAUAAACCGGAGGAAGGUGGGGAUGACGUCAAGUCCUCAUGGCCCUUAUGGGUAGGGCUUCACACGUAAUACAAUGGUCGGUACAGAGGGUUGCCAACCCGCGAGGGGGAGCUAAUCUCAGAAAGCCGAUCGUAGUCCGGAUUGUAGUCUGCAACUCGACUACAUGAAGUCGGAAUCGCUAGUAAUCGCGGAUCAGCAUGUCGCGGUGAAUACGUUCCCGGGUCUUGUACACACCGCCCGUCACACCAUGGGAGUGGAAUCUGGCAGAAGUAGGUAGCCUAACCGCAAGGGGGGCGCUUACCACGCUGGGUUUCAUGACUGGGGUGAAGUCGUAACAAGGUAACCGUA